GAUGAACGCUGGCGGCGUGCCUAAUACAUGCAAGUCGAGCGAACAGACCCGGCGCUUGCUCCUCUCACGUUAGCGGCGGACGGGUGAGUCACACGUGGAUCCCCUCCCUAUCAGACUGGGAUCACUUCGGGAAACCGGCGCUAAUCCCGGAUAAUAUAUUGAACCGCAUGGUUCAAUAGUGAAAGACGGUUUUGCUGUCUCUUCUAGCUGGAUCCGGGCGGCAUUAGCUGGUUGGUGAGGUACCGGCUUACCAGGGCGACGAUGCGUAGCCGACCUGUCAGGGUGAUAGGCCGCACGGGAGCGGGGACACGGUCCAGAGGCCUACGGGAGGCAGCAGUAGGGAAUCGUCCGCAAUGGGCGGAAGCAUGACGGAGCAACGCCGAGUGAGAGAUGAAGGUCUUCGGAGCGUAAAACUGUGUUAUUAGGGAAGAACAAAUGUGGAAGGAACUAUGCAGGGCGUGACGGUACCGAAUAAGAAAGCCACGGCUAACUACGUG
rnacentral:rRNA from 1 species